rnacentral:rRNA from 1 species
GACGAACGCUGGCGGCGUGCUUAACACAUGCAGGUCGAACGGAAAGGCCCUUCGGGGUCCUCGCGUGGCGAACGGGUGAGUGACACGUGGGUGAUCUGCCCUGCACUUUGGGAUAAGCCUGGGACACUGGGUCUAAUACCGUAUAGGCCGACGCUCUUCUUAGCGUGUGGUGUCAAUCUUUGGAGGUGUUGGUUGGGCCCGUGGUCUAUGAGCUUGUUGGUCGAGUAAUGGUUUACCAAGUCGAGGCCUGGUAGCCGGCCUGGGAGGGGGACCGGCGACAGGGGGACUGAGGUAGGGACCAGAAGCGAACGGGAGGCAACAGUGGGGAGUAUGGCACAAUGGGCGCAAGCCAGAUGCAGCGACGCCGCGUGAGGGAUGACGGCCUUCGGGUUGUAAACCACUUUCAAUGGGGACGAAGCGCAAGUGACGGUACCUAUAGAAGAAGCACCGGCCAACUACGUG